rnacentral:rRNA from 1 species
GACGAACGCUGGCGGCGUGCUUAACACAUGCAAGUCGAACGGAAAGGCCCUGCUUUUGUGGGGUGCUCGAGUGGCGAACGGGUGAGUAACACGUGAGUAACCUGCCCUUGACUUUGGGAUAACUUCAGGAGACUGGGGCUAAUACCGGAUAGGAGCUCCUGCUGCAUGGUGGGGGUUGGAAAGUUUCGGCGGUUGGGGAUGGACUCGCGGCUUAUCAGCUUGUUGGUGGGGUAGUGGCUUACCAAGGCUUUGACGGGUAGCCGGCCUGAGAGGGUGACCGGCCACAUUGGGACUGAGAUACGGCCCAGACUCCUACGGGAGGCAGCAGUGGGGAAUAUUGCACAAUGGGCGGAAGCCUGAUGCAGCAACGCCGCGUGCGGGAUGACGGCCUUCGGGUUGUAAACCGCUUUCGCCUGUGACGAAGCGUGAGUGACGGUAAUGGGUAAAGAAGCACCGACUAACUACGCG